rnacentral:tRNA from 1 species
GUGGGUGUAGCUCAGUUGGUUAGAGCGCCAGGUUGUGGCCCUGGAGGUCGUGGGUUCGAACCCCAUCAUUCACCCCA